rnacentral:rRNA from 1 species
UGAGGAAUAUUGGUCAAUGGGAGCAAUCCUGAACCAGCAAUGCCGCGUGUGGGAUGACGGGGCUCAGCCCUGUAAACCACUGUCGGACGGACGAAAGGAGCCUUCAGGGCCUCUGGGACGGUACCGUCAAAGGAAGGGUCGGCUAACUACGUGCCAGCAGCCGCGGUAAUACGUAGGACCCGAGCGUUGUCCGGAAUUACUGGGUAUAAAGGGUGCGCAGGCGGCCGUGUGCGUCAGAGGUGAAAUCUCCGGGCUUAACCCGGAGGGUGCCUUUGAUACGGCAUGGCUUGAGUCCGAGAGAGGGUGAUGGAAUUCCUGGUGUAGCAGUGAAAUGCGUAGAUAUCAGGAGGAACACCCGGUGGCGAAGGCGGUCACCUGGCUCGGCACUGACGCUUAGGCACGAAAGCGUGGGGAUCAAACCAGGAUUAGAUACCCUGGUAGUCCACGCCCUAAACGAUGUAUGCUUGGUGUUGGAUCAGCAAUGAUUCAGUGCCGAAGGGAAUCUGUUAAGCAUACCACCUGGGGAGUACGAUCGCAAGGUUG